UUCUUGCUCUCCCACCUCCACACAUAUAAACAAUUCAUAUGCAUGUAUUUACAGAGUAAUUACAGAGUGCGUAUGCUGUGAUUAAAGGCAAUAUAAACUGUGUUACCCUAAUUACAAGAGAAAAAACAACAAAAAAACAAAUACCCCAAACAAGUGAAAGCACAGGCAGAAAAUGGCAAAAAUUCUUUAACUGAGUCCAAAAACCUUGCUUUCUGAAAAAUUAAAAAGAAGAAAAGAAACUCAAAUUAUCUCUACUAUGUGCCUGGCACAAAAACUGAGGGUACAAGCCAGCCCAGCAAGUCUCCUGUUUGUAAAUUAUUUAAUGUAUGGGACAGAAAUCAGAAAAUAAUGUUGCCUGAGACAAGAUGAAAGAAACGCCACAUCUCAAAGUUUGAACAUAUUCUGCACUGUUUGGGCUCAGUGCUCUCCCACUGGAUGAGAGGAGCUCCUGUAGACUUAGCUUCAGUGGAAAAUAACUGCAUCCCACACAAGAGACAAGAGGACUAGACAGAGUCCCAGCAUCCCCUGCAGUGCUCAAGAAGUGGGAGAACAGCACCUUGGCAUCUUGUAGCUGAAUGAGAGUGCUACGGGCCUCCUGUGUUGUAUCAGUCUGUGCAAUUUCCUGGCUGAUUAAGAAUGGAAAAUUGCAUUUUUUCCUGGUCACCUGAAAUUUGGAGCCUGGCUUGAUCUUCCUGCAGAAAACACGUCUGGAGGUCCUCCCUGUGCAAACCCUAACCCUUCUGCAUCUGGGCUGAGUCGCCAGCAGAAGGUGUCUUAUUUAUUAAUAAAGAAGCCAGGAAAUUGGAUCAGUGCCAGGAGAGAACCUGGCUGGAGUUAUUGCAGAAUAACUGGCCAAAGUUAUCAGAACCAGUCUGCAUCACUCCUGGAGAAGAGGCUGCACUUGUGAGCCUGAGCUGUCAGGGUUAAGACAAGACGCUGGAACUCUCAGACAAAAUACAACCCAAACGUCCCAGCCAUCGCGACCAACAGAAACCCCGUGUUAUACAGAAAACUCCCUCAGAUGUGUGUUUUCCCCUUCCUGCUGGGACUCAUUUCAGAGCCUAACCUAAGCCUGAAGAAAAGACAAAGUGGGAUUGGGGAAGGAAAUAGUUUACAUUGCCAAAUCCCCAGCUUCUGGAUGAAGAACUUCAGGAUAGUGAGAACCUCACUGCAAAACAAUGGCAGUAUGUGACAAAGAGAAGCAGAACCUCAGUACUGACUCAGCAAGCUUUUGUUAUCCUCAAUGCUGAGAUCUAGCUUGAUUUCAAGCUGGAAAGACAAGAUCAUAAAACUGGGAUGGUAGAAGGAGCCCUCAUUUCCUUUUCUUGAGGGACAGCUAGCUGAUGGAUGGCUGCUGAAUUUGCCUGUUCCAGAAAGGUGGAGAUCCCGCACUUAUGGACACGGCUAAGUGGGUACGGUGGGGAUGGAUUGACAUUUGGACUAGGUGACCUUACAGGUCUUUUCCCCACAGGCACAAACAAAUGCUAUUUAUAACUCACCUAUUAUCGUUUUAAGAAUAGACCCUUAUGUACCUCACCCACCUUUGCCAUUUUUUUCCACUGUGCCCAACAAAGAGCAUGACAACAGUGUGGGAAUACUGCGAAACAAAUACAGGCGUUCUUGUGUUGAGUGAGGCCUGGGUGGAAAGCUCACAGGAGAUCCUGAACAGAUGAUGUUUUCUAAGUUCACUUUGACAUAUCUGAGAAGUUUGGUUGAGAUCUGCAAAUCUCUUGCCUUUAUUCAAACUGCGCUUGAGCUGUAUAUUAAUAGUAUUUGUAGCUUCUAUUAAAACGAAACAAAACGAAUAAGUGAAAGGGUGUUCUGAACCACUAGAAAAUUAGACUGCGUUCAGAUUUGCAGAGUGAGAUCCGGUCUGCUGAAGUAUUAAUGACCUAUUUUCCAGAGGAAUCAAUGGAAGUGAAGUACCCAUAUAUCACCCAGGUUCUGGGCAUUAGGCUUUGUCUUGUAGUGCCUUGUGAUGGUGCUUACACGGGAGGGGAACAUCUCAUUCUUUUCAUGGAUCUUGCGCUAAAUUUCACUGUGAUGUAAGCAGUAACAAAUGAGCAAUCCAUUACCAAGCAACCUAUUUUUCAGGCCUCCAGUGUCUAGGGCUGGAAAUCAGUGGUGAAAGUGCACACAAUGUGUUAAAUACAAAGUUCUUCUCCCAGCGAAGUGCAUGAGAGAUUUCAGCUUUCAGCUGAUAUUUCAAACAAAUAGACACAUAAAUAAAGAAGAUAAAAAAGCCACAGCACCCGCUGAUUCCCUCAUCUCUCCCACUUUUCAUAUUCAGGCUAUUUAACACAGUGCUUGUUAUAAUUGAAUGAAUAUCACAUAUAUAUAAAUUCAUAAAU
ensembl:lncRNA